CCAGAGGCGCGCUGGGUCCGGGGGACACGCUGCUCUUCCCCGAAGACCAGCCCGGGUUAAAAGCUGCCCCCCGGACGCGGCCGUGGAGACAGCGAUCAGGCACAAAGCUGGACGCCUGGGGCGAAGCGCGCGCGUGCGCACUGCGCCUGGGAACCCGAUUAGGCCCAGAGGAGGGCGGCGCGCGGCGGCCGGCGCGCUCCCCAGGCGGGCGCGCUCCCCAGGCGGGCGCGGACGGCGCAGAGGCGCCGGGGAGCUCCCUUGCGUUGGGCCGAAAAUGCAUCGGCGUGAUUCAAAAAUCAAAACAGCGUGAAAACUGCACUGAGAAACCUCUCCUCACCCCUCUUCCCAUCCAUUCCUUCUUCCUUGCACACUGCACGUAACCCUUGUUACUGGUUUCUCAUUUGGCAAAUAUGAAUGUAUAGUCUUACUCCCCCAUUUCUUCUUUUUUUUCAAUUUUCAGUCUUUUUAAUGUUAAUCAUUCUUAUAUCUGCACUGGUUUCCCAUUUUGGCUUCCAGAAGUUAAUUGGUCUUUUGAGUAUCUUCUGCUAUGAGGUGCCUCUUCAAAUCUGCUCAUUAAAAAAACAUAAUUUUGUGUCA